GACCAGACUCCUACGGGAGGCAGCAGUGGGGAAUAUUGGGCAAUGGGCGCAAGCCUGACCCAGCAACGCCGCGUGAAGGAAGAAGGCUUUCGGGUUGUAAACUUCUUUUAUGAGGGACGAAACAAAUGACGGUACCUCAUGAAUAAGCCACGGCUAACUACGUGCCAGCAGCCGCGGUAAUACGUAGGUGGCAAGCGUUGUCCGGAUUUACUGGGUGUAAAGGGCGUGUAGCCGGGUCGACAAGUCAGAUGUGAAAUCCUGCGGCUUAACCGCAGAACUGCAUUUGAAACUGUUGAUCUUGAGUACUGGAGAGGCAGACGGAAUUCCUAGUGUAGCGGUGAAAUGCGUAGAUAUUAGGAGGAACACCAGUGGCGAAGGCGGUCUGCUGGACAGCAACUGACGGUGAGGCGCGAAAGCGUGGGGAGCAAACAGGAUUAGAUACCCGGGUAAA
rnacentral:rRNA from 1 species